AGCUCCAAUAGCGUAUAUUAAAGUUGUUGCAGUUAAAAAGCUCGUAGUUGGAUUUGUGGUUGACGCUUGCGUCUCGGCACUAGUGUCGAGUUCAGUUGAGUGUUGCCAUGUUUGGGUUGAGUUUGUGUGGCAUUAGGUGUCGUGCAGAUGAGGCCUAUCGUUUACUGUGAAAAAAUUAGAGUGUUCAAAGCAGGCUUAUGCCGUUGAAUAUAUUAGCAUGGAAUAAUGAGAUAGGACCUUGGUACUAUUUUGUUGGUUUGCGCACUAAGGUAAUGAUUAAUAGGGUCAGUUGGGGGUAUUCGUAUUCCAUUGUCAGAGGUGAAAUUCUUGGAUUUUUGGAAGACGAACUACUGCGAAAGCAUUUACCAAAGAUGUUU
rnacentral:rRNA from 1 species